AGUGAACGCUGGCGGUAGGCCUAACACAUGCAAGUCGAACGGCAGCACAGUAAGAGCUUGCUCUUACGGGUGGCGAGUGGCGGACGGGUGAGGAAUACAUCGGAAUCUACUUUUUCGUGGGGGACAACGUAGGGAAACUUACGCUAAUACCGCAUACGACCUACGGGUGAAAGUAGGGGAUCUUCGGACCUUGCGCGAUUGAAUGAGCCGAUGUCGGAUUAGCUAGUUGGCGGGGUAAAGGCCCACCAAGGCGACGAUCCGUAGCUGGUCUGAGAGGAUGAUCAGCCACACUGGAACUGAGACACGGUCCAGACUCCUACGGGAGGCAGCAGUGGGGAAUAGUGGACAAUGGGCGCAAGCCUGAUCCAGCCAUACCGCGUGGGUGAAGAAGGCCUUCGGGUUGUAAAGCCCUUUUGUUGGGAAAGAAAAGCAGCAGGUUAAUACCCCGCUGUUCUGACGGUACCAAAAGAAUAAGCACCGGCUAACUUCGUG
rnacentral:rRNA from 1 species